ensembl:snRNA U6 U6 spliceosomal RNA
GUGCUCACUUCAGCAACACGUAUACUAAAACUGGAACGAUACAGAGGAGAUUAGCAUGGCCCCUGUGCAAGGAUGACACACAAAUUCGUGACGCGUCCCAUAUUUUU